rnacentral:ncRNA from 1 species
UAAAUUACUUGGUGACAAGUAGCUGAACCAUCAGAAGUCAGCAGAGGUCAUAGUACGAUUGGGUCUAGAACUAAUCGGAAGGGC